rnacentral:rRNA from 1 species
GACGAACGCUGGCGGCGUGCUUAACACAUGCAAGUCGAACGGAAAGGCCCUGCUUUUGUGGGGUGCUCGAGUGGCGAACGGGUGAGUAACACGUGAGUAACCUGCCCUUGACUUUGGGAUAACUUCAGGAAACUGGGGCUAAUACCGGAUAGGAGCUCCUGCUGCAUGGUGGGGGUUGGAAAGUUUCGGCGGUUGGGGAUGGACUCGCGGCUUAUCAGCUUGUUGGUGGGGUAGUGGCUUACCAAGGCUUUGACGGGUAGCCGGCCUGAGAGGGUGACCGGCCACAAUGGGACUGGGGUACGGCCCAGGCUCCUACGGGGGGCAAGAGGGGGGAAUAUUUCACAAUGGGCGGAAGCCUGGAUCAGCAACGCCGCGGGCGGGAUGACGGCCUUCGGGUUGGAAACCGCUUUCGCCUGUGGCGGAGCGGUGGGUACGGUAAUGGGUAAAGAAGCACCGGCUAACUACGGU